UCAUCUUCGGGGGUAGAGCACUGUUUCGGCUAGGGGGUCAUCCCGACUUACCAACCCGAUGCAAACUACGAAUACCGAAGAAUGUUAUCACGGGAGACACACGGCGGGUGCUAACGUCCGUCGUGAAGAGGGAAACAACCCAGACCGCCAGCUAAGGUCCCAAAGUCAUGGUUAAGUGGGAAACGAUGUGGGAAGGCACAGACAGCCAGGAUGUUGGCUUAGAAGCAGCCAUCAUUUAAAGAAAGCGUAAUAGCUCACUGGUCGAGUCGGCCUGCGCGGAAGAUGUAACGGGGCUAAACCAUGCACCGAAGCUGCGGCAGCGACACUAUGUGUUGUUGGGUAGGGGAGCGUUCUGUAAGCCUGCGAAGGUGUGCUGUGAGGCAUGCUGGAGGUAUCAGAAGUGCGAAUGCUGACAUAAGUAACGAUAAAGCGGGUGAAAAGCCCGCUCGCCGGAAGACCAAGGGUUCCUGUCCAACGUUAAUCGGGGCAGGGUGAGUCGACCCCUAAGGCGAGGCCGAAAGGCGUAGUCGAUGGGAAACAGGUUAAUAUUCCUGUACUUGGUGUUACUGCGAAGGGGGGACGGAGAAGGCUAUGUUAGCCGGGCGACGGUUGUCCCGGUUUAAGCAUGUAGGCUGAUUGUCCAGGCAAAUCCGGAUAAUCAAGGCUGAGGUGUGAUGACGAGGCACUACGGUGCUGAAGUAACAAAUGCCCUGCUUCCAGGAAAAGCCUCUAAGCAUCAGGUAACAUUAAAUCGUACCCCAAACCGACACAGGUGGUCAGGUAGAGAAUACCAAGGCGCUUGAGAGAACUCGGGUGAAGGAACUAGGCAAAAUGGUGCCGUAACUUCGGGAGAAGGCACGCUGGUGUGUAGGUGAAGUCCCUGCGGAUGGAGCUGAGACCAGUCGAAGAUACCAGCUGGCUGCAACUGUUUAUUAAAAACACAGCACUGUGCAAACACGAAAGUGGACGUAUACGGUGUGACGCCUGCCCGGUGCCGGAAGGUUAAUUGAUGGG
rnacentral:rRNA from 1 species